rnacentral:misc_RNA from 1 species
UCUCCGUAGGUGAACCUGCGGAGGGAUCAUUACAGAGUUUUUGCCCGCAAGGGUAGAUCUCCCACCCUAUGUUAUUCCUUCUCUGUUGCUUUGGCGGGCCGUCCGGCCUCGGUCAGGCCACCGGCUCCGGCUGGUGCGCGCCCGCCAGAGGACCCCAAACCCUAAAUGUCAGUGUCGUCUGAGUACUAUAUAAUAGUUAAAACUUUCAACAACGGAUCUCUUGGUUCUG